ensembl:snRNA U6 U6 spliceosomal RNA
GUGCUUGCUUCAGCAGCAUGUCUACUAAAAAAUUAGAAUGAUGCAGAAAAGAUUAGCAUGGUCCCUGUGCAAGAAUGACAAAUUCAUGGAGCAUUCCAUUAUACU